AAAAUUAAUUGGGAAACAACAAAUGACUAAACAAAAGAGCAUCAUUUGAUCAUUAUUUUACCACGAGACAGACAAUGGAUCCAGAUCCAAUUGUGUGAAACCUGCCCAAGUAUGAAUCAGCAAUCACAGCUCCAACAAUCGGCAUGAAAUUCGUGGCGGCCGACUGAAGGGCGCGCGGCUGGAGAGGUAGAGGGUCGAGCAACGCGCGGCAACCCUCGACCGGAGCUGGGAAAAGGACGACAACUUGUCAGGACUCAGCGGCAGGUGUGGUGGUGGUGAGUCGCGACGACGACUUACAGGAAUUGGGGGGAGGAUUUAGGGAUUUCAUUUUAGAAAUUGGAGAUUAUUUUGGGCUCAGUAGAAUCAAAAUCUUCAGAGGAGACGGAAAGAUGGUCGAAGCGAGAUGGUGAGAGAUGAGAAAAGAGGGGUGAGAGAGGCGGCACCGCCGUCGAGAGGACGGCGGCGAAGAAGCGGAGCCUACAUGUGUGCGAUCGAGAGAGAGAGAGAGGUCAGGGGAAAGAAGAGAGAGAGGGGGAGAACGAGAGAUCGAGGAUGAGAGAAGAGAGUGGAGAAAG
rnacentral:lncRNA from 1 species